rnacentral:tRNA from 1 species
GCAGUGGUUGUUCAGUGGUAGAAUUUUUACCUUCCAUGCUGUAGACUCAGGUUCAAUUCCUGGCCGAUGCA